CAGCUGCCAGAAUUCCCCAGGCAGCCAUGUGCAUUGUGUUAUUGCCUCAGACGGUGCAUUCUAUGGUUAGGGUGGAGGCUGCUUUCUCAUCCUUGUGACAGUUAUUUCAGUUUUGUAUUAUUUUUUUUCAAAUCUUGCUGGUCAUCGAGUAAACAGUAGUUCUUCCGUGAGAAUAUUAAGAUUCUCUAUUCUAACAGGAGGGACAAUUUUAGAAAUUAAAAAGCAAAAACAGCAAAAUCAAUAACUGGAAAACAAAAGUUUCCUAUUUCAGAAAUCCAAUCACAGUUCCAAAACAGAUGAAAGUAUUCUUUUAUCUCCCCCCUGAUCGAGACCACAAUCAGGAUGCAGAUAGAAGAGGAACAGGAAAAUAGCCUAGGUUCUAGGAGCAGGGAGUUCCAUCUGCAAGGGCAUUGCUUUGAGAAUUCUAUUUUCCAAAUUAUUUUUCCUCCAUGGGGGUAGGGAUGGGGCAUAUUGUUUUAUAAUUAACAUGGAAAUUGCUGUUAUUUUAGAUUUUAUAAUGGGGACCAUCCCUAUUGUAGAUAACAGUUAUUAGAAAUCAAUAACUGAGAGAUUUCCACGGCUCAGUGUGGCUGGAAUAUACACAAUUAACCCUUUUUCUGUUUGUCUUCAUAGUGUUCUUUAACUUUGUUUUCAAUGAUAAGAGAAAAGGCCCUGUCUGGAACAUCAUCAUAUGGAUAUGCCUCUCUUUGGGCCAAGCGAUCGUUUUCUCGUUAUACAGCCAAGAGUGGUUUGCACAUGUCCACUGUCCACUCAAGGAGAAGACCUUCUGGGAGCUAGUGACUCCACGUUCCUGGUAUUGCCACCCAUAAGCAACUAUUUCCAGCCUACCCUAGCCUUCUACUUUGCUUCAAAAAGGACGUCUCACAAGGAUAUCUCAUUACUCUGCUGCUGCAACAACAAGGACUCUCAGCACAUCAUGCGUCUCCUCCACUCCCUCCAUGGAAAGCUGUAUUUGGAAAUUCCUUAUCCGAGGGUGCUAAAAUUUGGUUUGUCGGUUCAAAGGCUCUAUCUGGUUGAGACAGAAUAUCUACAAAGAUCCCUGUGUGGAGUUCAUGGUGCUCAAAUUCCAGGGGAAAAUUUAUCAGUGACAAUCUUUGGCUGCCUCCAAGACUUACAAAAUUAUCUCCCUUUCUUAACCUACUUAAAAUAAAACAUGAGUGCUCCACCUUGAAAUGUAGAUUAUACCACAUCCCAGCUUUAACCCAAACUCUGUUGCUUUUAGAUCAACAGGAAACUUUCCAGAUAUUGGUAAAAUCCAGCUCUCAGCAGAUUGUAUUGAUGGGAAAUAGAGUUCAAUAAUAUCAGAAGUAUUGCUUAUAUUUCCUACUUUUAGACUUUCAUUCAACAUUUCAUCUCCAGCAGUGAAGGAAGGGAACCUGAAUUACCACCAGCAAUAUCCAUUCAAUGCCUAUUGUAUUGUGUGAAUGAUUUUUGAAACUAUAUUUGGAAAUAAAAACAGAUUAUGCCAAAUCA
rnacentral:lncRNA from 1 species